AUUCUUCAUUUUCUUCGUCUUCGAUACAUGCUGUGAGCUUGGGGGGAGGAACCGCUUGUAUCGAAGACGAAGAAAAUG